UACGUAGGGGGCGAGCGUUGUCCGGAGUUACUGGGCGUAAAGCGCGCGUAGGCGGUCUCUUACGUCCGGGGUGAAAGGUUCAGCGCUCAACGCGAACAGUGCCCUGGAGACUGGGGGACUUGAGUGUGGGAGGGGGCAGUGGAAUUCCGGGUGUAGCGGUGAAAUGCGUAGAUAUCCGGAGGAACACCGAUGGCGAAGGCAGCUGCCUGGCCUGACACUGACGCUGAGGUGCGAAAGCGUGGGGAGCGAACGGG
rnacentral:rRNA from 1 species